UACGUAGGGGGCUAGCGUUGUCCGGAUUCAUUGGGCGUAAAGCGCUUUAAGGCGGUUCGGUAAGUCGGGUGUGAAACCUCCAGGCUCAACCUGGAGACGCCACUCGAUACUGCUGUGACUAGAGUUCGGUAGGGGAUCACGGAAUUCCUGGUGUAGCGGUGAAAUGCGCAGAUAUCAGGAGGAACACCAAUUGCGAAGGCAGCUCGCUGGGACGUAACUGACGCUGAGACGCGAAAGCGUGGGGAGCAAACAGG
rnacentral:rRNA from 1 species